AUGUGUGUGAGACAAGAAUAUAUGUGUGUGAGACGAGAAUAUAUGUGUGAGAGUAGAAUAUAUGUGUGUGAGACGAGAAUAUAUGCAUGUGAGAGUAGAAUAUAUGUGUGUGAGAUGAGAAUAUAUGCAUGUGAGAGUAGAAUAUAUGUGUGUGAGACGAGAAUAUAUGCAUGUGAGAGUAGAAUAUAUGUGUGUGAGACGAGAAUAUAUGCAUGUGAGAGUAGAAUAUAUGUGUGUGAGACGAGAAUAUAUGCAUGUGAGAGUAGAAUAUAUGUGUGUGAGACGAGAAUAUAUGCAUGUGAGAGUAGAAUAUAUGUGUGUGAGACGAGAAUAUAUGCAUGUGAGAGUAGAAUAUAUGUGUGUGAGACGAGAAUAUAUGCAUGUGAGAGUAGAAUAUAUGUGUGUGAGACGAGAAUAUAUGCAUGUGAGAGUAGAAUAUAUGUGUGUGAGACGAGAAUAUAUGCAUGUGAGAGUAGAAUAUAUGUGUGUGAGACGAGAAUAUAUGCAUGUGAGAGUAGAAUAUAUGUGUGUGAGACGAGAAUAUAUGCAUGUGAGAGUAGAAUAUAUGUGUGUGAGACGAGAAUAUAUGCAUGUGAGAGUAGAAUAUAUGUGUGUGAGACGAGAAUAUAUGCAUGUGAGAGUAGAAUAUAUGUGUGUGAGACGAGAAUAUAUGCAUGUGAGAGUAGAAUAUAUGUGUGUGAGACGAGAAUAUAUGCAUGUGAGAGUAGAAUAUAUGUGUGUGAGACGAGAAUAUAUGCAUGUGAGAGUAGAAUAUAUGUGUGUGAGACGAGAAUAUAUGCAUGUGAGAGUAGAAUAUAUGUGUGUGAGACGAGAAUAUAUGCAUGUGAGAGUAGAAUAUAUGUGUGUGAGACGAGAAUAUAUGCAUGUGAGAGUAGAAUAUAUGUGUGUGAGACGAGAAUAUAUGCAUGUGAGAGUAGAAUAUAUGUGUGUGAGACGAGAAUAUAUGCAUGUGAGAGUAGAAUAUAUGUGUGUGAGACGAGAAUAUAUGCAUGUGAGAGUAGAAUAUAUGUGUGUGAGACGAGAAUAUAUGCAUGUGAGAGUAGAAUAUAUGUGUGUGAGACGAGAAUAUAUGCAUGUGAGAGUAGAAUAUAUGUGUGUGAGACGAGAAUAUAUGCAUGUGAGAGUAGAAUAUAUGUGUGUGAGACGAGAAUAUAUGCAUGUGAGAGUAGAAUAUAUGUGUGUGAGACGAGAAUAUAUGCAUGUGAGAGUAGAAUAUAUGUGUGUGAGACGAGAAUAUAUGCAUGUGAGAGUAGAAUAUAUGUGUGUGAGACGAGAAUAUAUGCAUGU
rnacentral:lncRNA from 1 species